UACAGAGGGGGCAAGCGUUGUUCGGAAUUACUGGGCGUAAAGGGCGCGUAGGCGGCCUUCUAAGUCGAACGUGAAAUCCCCGGGCUCAACCCGGGAACUGCGUCCGAUACUGGAAGGCUUGAAUCCGGGAGAGGGAUGCGGAGUUCCAGGUGUAGCGGUGAAAUGCGUAGAUAUCGGGAGGAACACCAGUGGCGAAGGCGGCUUCCUGGACCAGCACUGACGCUGAUGCGCGAAAGCUAGGGGAGCAAACAGG
rnacentral:rRNA from 1 species